GGGCUGUCCUGGGUCUGCCUCUCCACUGAAUUUUUAAUUUGGUUUUGUGAGUCUUUCAUUUCCAGAAUAUUUGUUUGGUUCUCUUUGAGAAUCCUUAUCACUUUAUUGAAGUGAUUUCUUCUUUUCUGAAGAAAACUCUAAUUGAAUCUUUGUUUGGAGUUCAUUAGGGUUUGAGACAUUUUGAAGAUGUUCCUCAACCUUUAGUUUUUGAUCCCUCCUGCUGAAAUGCAGGAGCCACUUCCCUAGUUGCUAUGAACCUCUCAUCAGCCAGUACUGGUUUGUCAGCCCAAGGUCCUAGAGCUGGCUACUGGGAAAGGUGUAGCAUUGUGUCUGCUUUUUUUUUCCUAUUGUGUGGUAGAGAUCAGGAUGUAAGGCUCUGAGUUAUUGAUGUGGUUCUCCAUGUCCCAGCUCCCUUCUACAGAAUUCUUUUUAAGGUCAUAUAGAGCCUGGUUGGCUAUCUCUACAAGCACCAGUUCUGUAGUGUGGGCUCUCUGUGGGUGAUCUGUGGGGCAGAGGUAUUUCUCCUGACACAGCUCACUGUCCUUCCUCCUGAGUAGGAUGAGUUGGUUCUAUCUUCCACUGUCCCAGGUUGGGUAUAGUGGGUGCUAUUUUCCUUUGCUGACUGUGACUGAGGCAGUACACAACCAGUUUCCCAGCAAUGUCUAGAGAUUCACCUGUUGUGGUCACAGGUCAGGCUAUGUGCUGUGGCUAUUCACUCUCUUGGACCUACACAACUCUGUUUUGACUGACUUCCCAGUGAUUCUGAUUUUGGUCCAAACAUAUUCUUUUUAAGCUUCCUUAGACUCACACAUUUUCUAGGCUUGGCUUUCUACUGAUUGUAGCAAUGAUGUAUGGACAGUCCUUCUAUGUUGCUGAAUGCCCAGGCCUGAACUGUAGCCAUAACCAGGGGGACAGACCUUCUAGAUUUCUUAGGACCUCAGGCAAUUUCCCAUUAUUUUUUCCCCCAACUUCAGUAGUCACCAAAGGCAUCAGUCCUAAGGGUUUCCCUUACUUCUGAGGCCAAAACUGCCUUCAUGCUUGGAUUAGAGCUCUUAUUUCCUGCCUUGUGGGCUACCCCUGUGUCUCUGCCCUGGCUCCCACAGGCAUUGCUGGGGUACCUGAAGCAUUCCUUCCCUCUGGAGUUCUGGGGACACUGUAUGGGGCAUUCCUUCCCUGUCUAGGUUUUUGUGGGGGAAGUACGGAGGGCCUCCUCCCUGUUUGGGUUCCCAGAACCCUUCGAGGGAUGCAACUUUCCUGCCUGGUUUCCAUUCAUUGCCCAGGGUUUUGCAGAGACUGUAUGGAGAACUCCUCCCAGACAGUUUCCUUGGGAUCCUAAGUGGGAUCCUCAUUCCCUGUCCAGAUUCUGUGAAGAAACCCUUUCUUGCCUAGGUUCUCACAAAUGAUUUAUAGGGUGACUGGUCAGUUGUGUGUUCCACAACAUGGCUUUCUGUUCUCAAAUUGGUAUUAAAGUGUUAAAAUCUGGAUUGAGGACAGUAUUGAUGCUUCUAAUGCGAUUAAAUAUGGUCUGUUCCCCUGCCCCCAAAUGUUGAUAAGGGGGAGAGAUUUGAGUUCUUUCCUGCUCCAUCUUUCUCUCUUUCCCUCUCUUUUGUCCCUCCCCUGCUCCCAUAGGUGCAGGUUCAGGGUUAGGGAAGUCUCGCUCUUGGUUUCUAUGCUGAUAAUCCAUCUUUUAGUCUCUCCAGAUGUCAGUCUUUGUAAUAUUGGAUAUUAGAGCAUUUAUUUUGUCACCCAACUCUUAGAUUUGUUUAGAACCAUUAAAUAAGAGAUAAAACACACAUGAAAGCUCACUUCAAUUUUCUAGCGGUUAAAUAUCCUUCAUGUCCCUGGAGACCCAGAACAAUUGAAGCAGCUCAGUAAAUCCUCAGUCCCUUUCAGAUAGAAAACCAUGUUGACCAUGAUUGUUUUAGGGAGGAUCUGUCAAAUUUCCAAGCAACACCAAAUUCCUUGCAUUGACAGUUAAGUUGUGCUAAGGAGAUCAACAGAGACAGUUCUGAAAGAAAUGGUAAUUUUGGAAUUUGAAAAUGUUUGUAUAAAUUAUAUUUUUCAAUAUGUAUAAUAUUACAAUAGAUAUAUUAAUCUGCCAUACAGACAAAUUAGAGUAAAUAAUGGAUGGAUAGGUGUUUAGUUUAAUAUUUUAAAGAAAUGCUUUACAUCUUUGAAAGUUAGAUUAGCAUUUGCAAAAGACAAAACUGUAGAUGUUUGAAUGGGAUAUGAAAUGCUAAGACAGUGCUAGUACAUAUUUAUUGACUAUUUAGCAUAAAUCUAAUUUUUUGUUACUUUUUUGUUUUUGUUUUUGCUUGAUUACUUGUUUUCUAACUUUAAAGAAAAUGCUAUUUCUUUUAUACAGAUCUACAAUGGAAGACAGCAAUACUAACAGCACCGAGUCAUAGAGGUAAAAAUGAUUGAAAAAUUAUAUUGUUAACAAAAAGAUACAAUUUAUAAAGUAAAUUUUUAUUGUUAACAAUAUCUUAGUAUGACAACACUAUUAUUCAGGUGGUGUCAUCUUGAUUUCUAUGUUUCAAAUGCUAAAAUAA
rnacentral:lncRNA from 1 species